UGCUGGGCAAUUGUCUAGGGGGAAGGAAAGCGCCUGCCACUUGGCCAGCGGGCAGCUGUUGCUUGUCCUGACAAACAAAUCUUUUGUCGACUGCGGUUGUCCGGGGUCGGGCUGGUCAACCCUUUCAGGAGUCUCAACUGUCAAAAGUACAUUUGCCUCGGUUACGCCACAGAGGAAAUAUCCUUGAAGCAUGUAAUGACAAUAUCAGGCAAGGCGGCCUUCCCAUUGCUGCCCUGCUGCCCUGCUGCCCUGCGGCCCUGCGGCCCUUUUGGGUUACCCAGAGUUGCCGAGGAGUUGAGUGAGAGUCUCCCCUGCUGCAGUCCCCCCUUGAGUGCUGAUUGUGUUGUUCGUUGUGCUCCAUUUUCAUUUUGCGGCGUUGAUGAAACUUUAAUGACACACCGCACGCAUCCAAGAACUGGGGGCCAUGUGUUGUCCGGCUUCAGCUUCCAGCUAGAGUUCGCUCCUCUUCCCCUCUGUGUAUCUCUGCUACUUUUCUGCACAAUUUCAUUUCUGUGGGUCAGACAAAGCCGGCUAAUGGCGGCUAAUGAAGCCAGUUUUAUUGAGGAUUUUGUGGGUCGCUGAACUGUAGCUCCCAGCCUGCAU
rnacentral:lncRNA from 1 species